UACGUAGGGGGCUAGCGUUGUCCGGAUUUAUUGGGCGUAAAGAGCGUGUAGGCGGCCAGGUAGGUCUGCUGUGAAAACUCGAGGCUCAACCUCGAGACGUCGGCGGAAACCAUCUGGCUAGAGUCCGGAAGAGGAGAGUGGAAUUCCUGGUGUAGUGGUGAAAUGCGCAGAUAUCAGGAAGAACACCCGUGGCUAAGGCGGCUCUCUAGUACGGUACUGACGCUGAGACGCGAAAGCGUGGGGAGCGAACAGG
rnacentral:rRNA from 1 species